AAUUUCGGUGGUUGGGGGGGGAGCCGUCACCACAGUCGGAUCCCGGGCCUUUCUUCCGAUUUCCCCCUUUUGUCCUCACCUCCAGAAAUGAUGAGAGCAGGGCACAAUCGGGGUGCCUGUACUGGGUCCCGUCAGCGGAAAUAUGCCAAGGCAAGUGCAUUGAUGGUUCCGGGUUUGCGAGCCGUGCCGUCGCGUCGCCUCUGCCCAAGCCAUAUAAAUACAUCAAACGCCGAUACAGGCUCGCUGUUCAGGGCGUCCAUAUGUACAAUCGCUACUUGGGAUGGACGUCACGUUCCAUCUGCGAAGCCUUCACUUCCCCGCGAUGCAGGAGCCAAUCAUGUUGAAGUGGGGCGGGUCUUGCCGAGAAAGGCCGUGGGAUUUCCAAGAAUGUCUGUGAAAUCCGGUUGUCCGUAACUGUAAUUUGUUUCGUCUUUUUGUAAAAGUGUUUCUGCUUUUGUUUUUGUGUUUCCUGCAAUGUUAGUGUUUCGUCUUCUGUUAAUUUGUUUUCUGAAAUAUUAAAGUGUUUCGUGUUUUUUUUUUUCCUGAAAUGUUAGUCUUUUGUGUUUUGUUUUUGUGGUCCCUGAAAUUUUA